AUCCCUGGGAGUAUCUGGGGUUGGGUCAUCGCUGGUGUGUGUGAGUGUGUGUGUGUGUAUGUGCACGUGUGCGUGUGUGUGCGCUUCUGGCCUCUGCAGCUGAGUCCUGGCCCUCGGGGGGCCUGGCACCUCCUGGGGACAGGCACAAAGCAGCCAUGAUGGAGUCGGGAGCUGGGGGAGGCCCCAUUGCCCCAUGUGGCUGCCCUGAGACUCUGGGGUGCUUGUUAGAAGAGAAAAAAGCCUGGAGCAGGAGCUGGCCAGCCCCAUCCUGGACAUCGAGGACUUGGUCAAGAGCGGAAGCAAGCACAGGGUGUGCCCUUACUACCUGUCCCGGAACCUGAAGCAGCAAGCCGACAUCAUCUUCAUGCCGUACAAUUACUUGUUGGAUGCCAAGAGCCGCAGAGCACACAACAUUGACCUGAAGGGGACAGUCGUGAUCUUUGACGAAGCUCACAACGUGGAGAAGAUGUGUGAAGAAUCGGCAUCCUUUGACCUGACCCCCCAUGACCUGGCUUCAGGACUGGACGUCAUAGACCAGGUGCUGGAGGAGCAGACCAAGGCAGCGCAGCAGGG
rnacentral:sRNA from 1 species